AGCGUUAUCCGGAUUUAUUGGGUUUAAAGGGUGCGCAGGCGGAUUAGUAAGUCAGUGGUGAAGCUCCCGGCUCAACCGGGAAAAUGCCAUUGAUACUGUUAAUCUUGAGUACAGUUGAGGUUGGCGGAAUGUAUCAUGUAGCGGUGAAAUGCAUAGAUAUGAUACAGAACACCGAUAGCGAAGGCAGCUUACCAAACUGUAACUGACGCUCAUGCACGAAAGCGUGGGGAGCAAACAGGAUUAGAUACCCUGGUAGUCCACGCUGUAAACUAUGAUCACUCGCUGUUGGCGAUACACUGUCAGCGGCUUAGCGAAAGUGUUAAGUGAUCCACCUGGGGAGUACGAUCGCAAGGUUGAAACUCAAAGGAAUUGACGGGGGCCCGCACAAGCGGAGGAGCAUGUGGUUUAAUUCGAUGAUACGCGAGGAACCUUACCUGGGCUUAAAUGCAGAACGACCUCCCGAGAAAUCGGGACUUCCUUCGGGACGGACUGCAAGGUGCUGCAUGGUUGUCGUCAGCUCGUGCCGUGAGGUGUCGGGUUAAGUCCCAUAACGAGCGCAACCCUUAUCCUUAGUUGCCAACAGGUAAUGCUGGGAACUCUAAGGAAACUGCCUACGCAAGUAGUGAGGAAGGUGGGGAUGACGUCAAAUCAGCACGGCCCUUAUGUCCAGGGCUACACACGUGCUACAAUGGUCGGUACAGGGGGCAGCUACCUGGCAACAGGAUGCUAAUCUCGAAAGCCGAUCUCAGUUCGGAUUGGAGUCUGCAACUCGACUCCAUGAAGUUGGAUUCGCUAGUAAUCGCGCAUCAGCUAUGGCGCGGUGAUACGUUCCCGGGCAUUGUACACACCGCCCGUCAAGCCAUGGAAGCUGGGAGUACCUGAAGUCUGUUACCGCAAGGAGCGGCACUAGGGUAAAACCAGUAACUGGGGCUA
rnacentral:rRNA from 1 species